AAGUCGUAACAAGGUUUCCGUAGGUGAACCUGCGGAAGGAUCAUUACCAAUAAUUUUAAUAUUCAAACCCAUGUGCACGGUGAAUGAAUUGUCUUGGUUUUUGGGGCGGGCUGUUCAACGGCGGUCCACCCCAACCAUUUUGUUUAACAACUGUUUAUUUGUCAUGGCAUCGAAAAUUGUCUUGUAAUAAUGACAACUUUUAACGGUGGAUCUCUUGGCUCGUGGAUCG
rnacentral:misc_RNA from 1 species